rnacentral:lncRNA from 1 species
AUUCAUCUAUUUUUAUGUUGAACAUUUCCACCUCUAGUUUUCCAUGUGAGAGAAAUAUAUGAUACUUGUUUCCUGAGUCUGGCUUAUAUUAUUUAACAUUAUGCUUCCCUGUUUUAUCCAUUUUCCUAAAAUUAACUUAGUUUUGUUGUUCUCUAUGCAUAGAAAUCUUCCUUGUGUAUAUAUACCACAUUUUCUUUAUCCAUUCUUUUAUUAACUAGCAUCUAGCCUGAUUCUAUAACUUGCCUAUUAGUAAUAGUGUCAUGGCAAAGAUAGGUAUAUGUAUAUCUCUAAAAUAAGCUGACUUUAAUAUUUUCUGGUAAGUACUGAGUAGUAUAUUUGAAUAAUAAAGUAGUUCUAUGUUCAGUUUUUGAGUAGCCUUCAUAUGAAUUUCCAUAGGGAUAUAGUAAUUUAUGUUCCUGCCAUUCACAUAUAUGAGAUUUUUCUCCUCAUCUUCCCAGUAUUAUUUGCAUUCUUGAUGAUUGGUUUUUUAAAUGGUGGAAAUGGGAGCUUGAUGUUGUUUUGAUUUACAUAUUCCCGAUUGAUAAAGAUGUUAU